CUAAUCGCGAAAUUCCAGAAGUUGUACGACGACCUCACCACCGGGUUCCGCAACCUAGAAGACGAGGCUAGGUAAAAAAGGAGAGAAGAAACAUUGUGUAUGGCCACCGUGUAAACAAUAAGGAGCACCAAAUGCUGUGAACGACUUGCGAGCAAUUUGCUUUUUGCUUCACCGGAGUUUGUGUAGAUGCGAAUUACGUUUCAGGACCCCCUCCCCCCUUUUUUUUGCGACAGACAGACAGACAGCCUUGUUUUUUCCCCAGGAUUUUUACAUUGUUUGGUCUCCAGCGCCAGGAUGCACGCCAUUAUUUUUUCACCAUGUGUACCAUUAUUUGUUGUAUAAGAAGACUGAGCACCGGUGGACAUGUUCAUAGGAGGAAUAAGCACGAUGUCCAUCUACUUGAACAUCAAUAAUGUCUAUAUUUAUAUUUAUAUCUAUUACUGUAUUUGCCAUCAUUCUCCCGCUCUGAUUUGCGGCAGUACUAUUUUGUGCUUUGUCGAUUUGUAACAUUAUCUUCAUAAAGGAUUAUGUUUGACGAUGUGGUGUCGUAAAAAAUACAACCGGAGGGGGUAGAGGUUGGAAAGGUAGGAACAAAAAGUCAGCAUUUAUAUUGUUGUGUCAAAAAAUUACGGUCCGUGGUUGAAACGGCACGGUGGUGAUUACUCUUGUCUUUUCAACCGUCUGGGGGGAGACCAGUUUGGACGCAUGGGGUGGGUCUUGCUGGGAGAAAGCGGAGACGGAUGGGGGAACGGAUUGGGAGGCGCAGCAGGGAAGGAUCCACGUCCACCCACCGACCGGGCCAGCCUGACCGGGCUUUGUCUCUAGCCACGCCCCUGCUUGCUUGGACGCUUGCCUGCUAGUGGAGCAGCCGGAAGCCACUUUCGUUGGUUUUCCGCUGAGGAUGUUCCGAGUGCAUGUGCACACCCAUCCAGGAUGGAUGCCGUGCGUGAGCCUAGAAAGAAGGAACCCAGCACUGUUUUUGUUUUUGUUUCGGUUUCCGGGGUCUACUCUACGUGGAUGGCUCGCAUUGGCAGCUGGUCCACAUGAGAAUGUGCAUGGGAUUUGCACAUGGGAUCCUUCCUGUCAGCCUGCCGGCAGCCAUGGAAUGGAAAAAAAUUGCACAUGGAUGGACCACCGGAAUUACUCUUCCUAUGCGCAUGGGAUUUUUUUUAUUCGGAUUCAUACGCUGGGAGCUUUAAUUGUGGCAAUUUUUGUGAAAUACCUCCCCCGUCCAAAAACAUGACACUUAUUUUGGGACGGAGGAGGAAGUACCUGCAUAAUUAUGGGGUCUUUUCGUGUUGGACCUGGCUUUUGGUAUCACGGGCUACGCGCCGUGGGGCAAUUCUACAAACCCCAAACAAAUGCUUCCUUCAUUUCUAAAUAUAGGUCUUUUUACAUAUUUCAAUACAGACUAUAUAUGAAGCAAAAUAAAUGAAUCUACACUCUAAAAUAUGUCUAUAUACAUAUAUAGUUCUUAUUAAGAUCUUUAAAAAUAUUUAUAUUUAUGAACAAGAAAGUACAUGUAUAAUUUUUCGGGUUUGUCUAGGACAUAUCUAGAUGUGCCCUAAUUAUUGCACAUCUAAGUUCACUCAAUCAAGCAUAAGAAAAAAAAGAAAAAGAGAAAAGAAAAUAUCCACACGGAUCUCUGCGUAAGAUCAAUGACUUAGGACUUAGAUGUGCAAUACUUAGAGCAACUCCAAUGGGGCGACCCAUUUCGUCCGUCGCCGUCCGUUUGGGUUGGCGCGGACAGAAAAGACGGUCCAACACGUCGACCCAAACGGACGCGCGUCCGCCUGUCGGCCCAUUUCCGGCCCAUUUUUGAGCCGGUUGGCGCGGACACAAGACGGAUGCGAGCGCGCUCGCCCUCUCUCCUCCCCGCGCGUGCACAACCUCCACUGCCUGCUUCGUCGCCGACGCCGCCGACCAUUUUUUCCGAUGAAAAAGGAUACAUAGAUAGUUCUUGCGUACACAAAUAAAAGAAAAGAUCAACUACUCGUCGGUUUCCGACUCUGACUCGGUAAUGUCCUCCUCCGACGUCUGAAUAUAGGCGUCAGUAGCCUGCUCAUCCGCGAAGUCCCACACCGAUGUUUCUCGCAGCUUCAGUCUCAAUUGAGCGGCCUGCUUCUGCGCACGCUUGCCCUUCCGAUAGGCGGCUCGCUCCGUCCUCCUGGCCUUCCUCUCCGUCCUCCUCUGCUCAUAGAACUGACGUUCGUCGAUGAUUUCCUGCGGGAAGCGUUCGCGCCACACCACCAAGGCUUGCACGUCCAUCUCGGCGAUGGCGAGGCGACGCCGCCGCCUCUGGUGGACGCGACGAUCCUCGUCGAUGAAAAGCCGCGGGAGAGGCGCCAGAUCCUGCGCCCGCUGGCUCGACACGUCAGGAAAAUUCAUCUCCGACUAGGCCACCGGAGGCGCCACGCCGCCGCGUCGUACGCGCGGGCUGCCUGCUCAGCGGUAUCGAAGGUGCCGAGGAUGAGGCGUUUCUCGCCAAACAAGAUCUCGGCGGAGAAGGCGACGGAGGGGCGCUCGCGGACUCCGCGAAAAUCCGAAGCGCCGAGGAUGCGCAUCGACAUGGUGGUGCACAGGCGACGAGGCUAGUGAGAGGGGGCGAGACGACUAGGCGGUGGACUGAGUGUGGAGGGAGCGCCUUCUUAUAAUGAGCGCCGGCCAUGGCGCGCCAAAACAAGCGUGCGAACAUUUCCCGCGCUCUGGAGCUCCAAAGCCAGCGUGCGCUAUGCUGAUCCCCCAACCCCCCGCGCGAACCUUUCCCGCGCGCUGGCAUGGCCGCUGGCAUGAUCUAAAAGUGCGCGCGGUCAUGAAAUGGGUCGGCGCGUUGGGCGCGCUGCCGACCCAAAUCUAAGAGCAACUCUAGCAAACCCCGCAUUUUUCCGACCUGUAAACUGCGUUUGCAGGUCGCACGGGGGCGCUUAUGCGGGCUGAAAAUUGCGGCGGCAGACUAGAAACCGCAAACAAACCCGUAAUUUUUAAACAAAGUUGUUUCACGCGAGAAAUUUAAGUAGUUGCUCGCCGGAGCUCGCUCGCAUAGAUGGUUCUUCUUCGCAUAAUAAGUUCAUACACGUCAUAUACAUACAUAAAGGUUAGAGAUGCUAGACAGGGCCUACGCUACCGCACCACUGCGCCAAAAUUGAGCUCACCGGAGCUCCUGCGGUAGCUGCUUACCGGCGGUGAUCAGUCGGAGUCGGACGCGAGGUCGAUGUAGAGCUUCGCCUGCUCCGCCUUCAUCACGCGCAGGUCAGCCUCCUUCAAUGUGUGCGCCUGCGAUGGCGUGAUGCCCGUCUCGAAGAAGAGGCGCUCGUACUCGAGCUCGCGCCGGAUGCGCUCUUCCAUCUCUUCCUGCUCCCUCGCCGACCGCUCGAGGACGACGCGCUUGAGGACCUCCUCCUGCCCCGGGGGGAGGAAGUCCUCAGGCCCGAUGACGCCUCGGCGCGGCGGCGCAUCGGGCACGGCCUCCUCCGGCUCCCUCUUCAUCGGAACGAGCGAGCUCGAUGCGCCCUCGGAUGAGCACCCCGCGGACCCGUGGCCGGAUGACCUCGUCGCAGACCAGUUGCCGGAGGAGGCGCGGCGGCGACGGGCGAGCUCGAGAUCGAAGUCCUCGAGCUCGCGGCGGUUGAAUGUCGGCGGCGGCCGGGCGCCUUGGCGGUCGAAGGCUCGUCGGCGGUGACAAAUGCGGCGGCGCGGUGGGGAAUUGGAGGGGAACGCGGCGGCAGGGGAUAGGGUUUCGAACCGCAUCUGCCCCGCAAACCCGCAGUUAUACUGGCUCCGGGAUUGCGUUUGCGGGCUGCGGCAAAAUUAUUUACGGGCCGGACACCGACGCCGGCUCUGGUCUAGCCAGAAAAAUGGGCCUAGCCCGCAUAAUCAUCGGAAUUAUGCGGGUUUGCACCAAAUGCGGGGUCCUUGCAUUGGAGUUGCUCUUACUCGACACAUCUAGAUAUGCUUUAGCAAAACCAAUAACUUUUCGGAUUGUUUCCCUGGCCGACCUGACGUUUCGGUAUCUCCAUCUCGGAAUAGGCAUUGUGGGGGCAUGUGAAUUGAAGCCGAAGGCGUAGCCGGGCCGCGUGUCCGUCCGUCCGGCCGGCCGUGCGAUCGAAUAUGCCCCUGCAUCUAGCCAUUCCGUCGCUUUUGUACUUUUUGCAGCAGUAUGCACCAUGUACGUGCAGUCCUUUUGCUUUUGUACCAAAAGGGAGUACCCAGCAAGCAAAGAUGAGCGCCAAAGCAAAGCCUCCCGUCUUUUGAUUGCGGGCAAAGUUUUUAUUAGGGUACUAAUCCGAGGACAACAUUCUUUUAGUUUUAGAUAACACAAAUAAUGCUGCAGAUAAUUAAGCAGUGGUAUAUUCUAAGAGCAUCUCCAACAAGCGCCGAACGCGCUGCGCGCAAAAAACUGGUUUGCCGCGCGCCCAUCGUCUGGUUUGGCGCGGCGCGCAACGCUGACUCCAGCAGCUGCGUUAAAAUGCAGCGCGCGCGCCGCUCCAGUAGCACGCAAAAAAUGCAGCGCGCACACAACUUUUUUUUAUUUUUAGAUAAAUCGGAAGCAUAGACAAAUAAAAACUAGAUAGAUUGCAUAAAUAAAAAACGAUACAAAUGUAUUUAGAGAUAGAUAGUUCGAAAGCAUAAACUACGGCGCAACUAAAUAGAAACUACUCGAAGUCGCUAUUAUCAUCACCAUCAUCAUACUCGUCGGUGUCGUCUGAGGUAUUGAGCCAUAUGUCCAACCAACGAUCAUCGUUUUCUGUGAAGAACGACCUCCCACUUGCUGCAACGAUAUCCGACAGCGCAUUCGCCAAUGCCUUCCGCCGACGCCUCUCCAACCGCGAAUUGUGGCGCCUUCGCGUGUCCUCCUCACGGCGCCUUGCCCAGUAGGAUUGCUCGUAGGCGACGUCCUCCGUGUGGCGCCGGCGCCACUCCUCCAUGACCCGCUCGUCCUCCUGGGCGACGAGGAGGCGGCGCUACUGCUCAGCGUGCUCCGCACGGUCUUCUUCCGUGUUAAGACGAGGCGGCGGGGCGACGUCCAGCGCCUGCUGGAGCGUGUAGACGUCCUGAAAGUUCAUCUGCCCGCGCGGCCUGCCUAGGCGCCACGCCGCCGCGUCGUACGCGCGGGCGGCCUCGUGCGCCGUCCCGUAGGUGCCGAGGCCGAGCCGGAGAUCGCCAGAGCGUAUCUCGGAGUAGUACCCGCCGUUGGGGCGCAGGCGGACGCCGCGGUAGCCCGACGCUCCUCGGCGGCGCAUCGGCAUGGUGGCGCGUCGGUGGCGGGGCGCUGGAGCGGUGGAGGCGCGCGUAGCAGAGGAGGAGGAAGAGGCGUGUGGCAGAGGAAGCGGAAUCGAAGUCGUGGAGAAGGCGCGUGACGAGCGCCGCAUUUUAUAGGCGCGCCGGAAGCGGUGCGCUAAAAAUGGCGCGCGAGCUGCCGCCUUUUCCCGCGCGCGCGAGUUUUCCGCCACCGCUGGAGCACGGCAAAACGUUCCGCGCGCGCUAAAAGCUGGGUUUACCGCGCGCGCGCGUCUUUUGGCGCACCUGCUGGAGAUGCUCUAAGAAGGGGACAACACGAUAUGAUAAAAGAUGGCGUGUGCUAAACCUUUUGAUUGCACACAAGGCUAUUAUAGGGUUAACAAUCUGAGGAUAAAGAGUUCUUCUAUAGACACCACAAAGGGGGGAAAAAGGCCAAAUGGUUGUUAUCACACCCUUUCUUGCAGUGAAUAUCUCCUCCUCUUGAUGAACAAUAAAUUCGAUAAAGACAGCAAACAAAAUCGAAAAGAAUCUAGCCUUUUUUUACAUGACGCAUGAACAAAAUUCUUUAUGUGCCUGCAAAAUUUCAUGACGGCAUGACACUAGGAAAGCCCUGGACAAAAAAAAAAAUGAAGCUUUGAGAAUGGUUCAAAUUUUUUGAUUUUGAAGCACUGAUUUUAUUUUAUCUGUCCCAACCUCCCCCGAUGUCCCAUGUUUAUGAGACUUUGCGGGCACAUGGAGAAUUUGUUCGUCUUUGCAAAAAAGGUUAUAUUUUUUUUUGAUUCGUACUGCUCAUCCAUGAGCAGAUGAGCUCGUGAUCAGCAAUAGAUUCCCAACCUAACUACGGCAUGUUCUAAAGCCGUAUUUGGUGAGAACUAAUGUUCUUGGUCUUUUUUCUUUUCCUGUGAGAAGCUAUUGUUCUUAGUCUUUGUAAUUAUGCACGGGCUAUUGGUACGACCAAGUACUUUUAGGAAGCUAACUAUUUAUUCUGAAUGCCACAAGGUUAGCUGCCGAAUUCCAUUAAUCAGAAGGGGAGGUGCACGGGACCGAAGAAACCCAAAUCUAGAAGCUUGAUCGAAAGGCCAAUCUCUGUGAAAAGGACAUGUACAAUGGCAUGACAUCGGUGGCUCUGUUAUGGGAAGUGGAGUUCCAAUGCUAAGCCUUGAACCGCGUGCAUAAUCUGACCAGUAGCAUCUCACAUGAACAAAUAUGUCGAUGCCUCCUAGUCCGUGAAGCGAUGAGACGAAAGCCGACGGGUGGGCGUGCAAAACGCACAUGCCGGCCGAGAUGAUAUUAUGUCGGCCAUCUCUCCUACUCCCUCCGUCCGGGUGUAUAAGUCAUUCGCGUAGUUCUAGGUCAUCGAUUUGAGGAAUUAAAUAUGUGUUAUAUGUCAUGAAAAGUAUAUCACUAGAUUUCCACACGGAUGUAGUUUCUAAAUAUAUAUUUUUUGUCACAUAUAAUACAUAUUUAGAUAGUUAAAUUAUCGACCUAGAACUACGCGAAUGACUUAUACACCGGGACGGAGGUAGUACAUAACUUUGUUGUUAUCAAAAGAUGAAAAUAAAAUCAAAAUAAACUAACAGAUUAUAACAAUAAACAAACACCAGUAAAAUUCCAAAUGGACGCGCUAGGAGGCCAGAAAACGAAAGGUGAGGGGUGGGGGUGCAAAAACCACACGCCGGCCUCCCGGCCCAGAGACUAUCACCAUCUCCUGUUUUCCCAUUGCGUCCAUUUGGAAGCAAGGAAGGGAAGGCAAGGAAAGCCAGUGGAAAGCUCCGGGCAGCAUUAAGUCAUCACAUGUUACAAUUAGUGCCGCUUCUAGCUUAGUUAAUCCCCUUGGUUUAUACUUAUAUCUAU
rnacentral:lncRNA from 1 species